CCUACGGGAGGCAGCAGUAGGGAAUAUUGCUCAAUGGGGGAAACCCUGAAGCAGCAACGCCGCGUGGAGGAUGAAGGUUUUCGGAUUGUAAACCCCUUUUGUUAGAGAAGAUAAUGACGGUAUCUAACGAAUAAGCACCGGCUAACUCCGUGCCAGCAGCCGCGGUAAUACGGAGGGUGCAAGCGUUACGCGGAAUCACUGGGCGUAAAGGGCGCGUAGGCGGGAUAGCAAGUCAGAUGUGAAAUCCUAUGGCUUAACCAUAGAACUGCAUUUGAUACUGUUAGUCUAGAGUAUGGGAGAGGUAGGUGGAAUGCUUGGUGUAGGGGUAAAAUCCGUAGAGAUCAAGAGGAAUACUCAUUGCGAAGGCGACCUGCUAGAACAUAACUGACGCUGAUGCGCGAAAGCGUGGGGAGCAAACAGGAUUAGAUACCCUAGUAGUC
rnacentral:rRNA from 1 species